AGAAUUUGAUCCUGGUUCAGGAUGAACGCUGGCGGUGUGCCUCAGGCAUGCAAGUCGAACGAGAAUCUAACUUCGGUUAGAGGAAAGUGGCAGACGGGUGAGUAAUGCAUGGGAAUUUACCUUGUAGUGGGGAAUAGCCUCGCGAAAGCGGGAUUAAUACCGCAUGUAAUCGAAAGAUUAAAGCCUUCGGGCGCUACAAGAGAAGCCCAUGUCCUAUCAGGUUGUUGGUGGGGUAAUGGCCUACCAAGCCUAUGACGGGUAGCCGGUGUGAGAGCACGACCGGCCACAAGGUCACUGAGACACGGGACCUACACCUACGGGUGGCAGCAACCGGGAAUCUUGCGCAAUGGACGAAAGUCUGACGCAGCGACACCGCGUGUAGGAUUAAGCUCUUCGGAGUGUAAACUACUGUGGCAGGGGAAGAAACUUUGACGGUACCCUGCUAGAAAGCACCUGCUAACUACGUGCCAGAAGCCUCGGUAAUACGUAGGGUGCAAGCGUUAUCCGGAAUUAUUGGGCGUAAAGCGUCUGUCGGCGUUUUGGAAAGUUUCUUGUUCAAGACUAGGGCUUAACUCUAGAAAAGCAAGAAAAACUACCAGAAUUGAGUCUGUUCGGGGAAACUGGAAUUCUCGGUGGAGGGGUGAAAUCCGUAGAUAUCGAGAGGAACACCAUACGCGAAGGCGGGUUUCUAGGACAGUACUGACGCUCAGAGACGAAAGCUUGGGUAGCGAAAGGGAUUAGAGACCCCUGUAGUCCAAGCCGUAAACGAUCCUCGCUAGCUGUUCUCACUUCGGUGGGAGUGGCGUAAGCUAACGCGUUAAGCGAGGCGCCUGGGGAGUACGACCGCAAGGUUAAAACUCAAAGGAAUUGACGGGGGAGCGCACAACCGGUGGAGCAUGUGGUCUAAUUCGAUACGAAGCGAAAAACCUUACCUGGAUUUGACAUGUAGCUGCACGGCCUAAGAAACUAGGUCUUCUUCGAGAGUGCUACACAGGUGAUGCAUGGCUGUCGUCAGCUCGUGUCGUGAGACGUCCGCUUAAGUGCGGUAACGAGCGCAACCCUUGUCCUCAGUUACAAGUGUCUGAGGAGACUGCCCCUGUUCUACAGGGGAGGAAGGAGAGGAUGACGUCAAGUCAGCAUGUCCCUUACAUCCAGGGCGACACACAUCCUACAAUGGAGCCGACAACGGGUAGCGACGGGGUAACCCUGAGCCAAUCCUUAAACGGCCCCUCAGUUCGGAUUGAGGGCUGCAAUUCGCCCUCAUGAAGCCGGAAUCGGUAGUAAUCGCAAAUCAGCAGGUUGCGGUGAAUACGUUCUCGCUCCUUGUACACACUGCCCGUCAAGUCAGCA
rnacentral:rRNA from 1 species